UACGUAGGGGGCAAGCGUUGUCCGGAUUUAUUGGGCGUAAAGAGCUCGUAGGCGGUUGGGCAAGUCACGUGUGAAAUCUCCACGCUCAACGUGGAGGCGCCACGUGAGACUGCCCUGACUCGAGUCCGGUAGGGGAGCGUGGAAUUCCCGGUGUAGCGGUGAAAUGCGCAGAUAUCAGGAGGAACACCGGUGGCGAAGGCGGGAUCCUGGGCCAGUACUGACGCUGAGGAGCGAAAGCGUGGGGAGCAAACAGG
rnacentral:rRNA from 1 species